CGGAGUACGUUUCAGCUACUGGAAGAGUGGCCGCGCAAUUAAGCAGGCAGACUUAGAUGGUGACGGUUUCAUUGGCGAGGAUGAGAUUGAUAACCUUGUGGAGUUUGCGAAGAAGAGCCUGGGACUGAAUAUCGUCGCCUACUAGCGAGCUUCGUGCGCGAAGCUGGCCGUAACCCCUUUGAUGCAGUACCGGUGUAGCAUGUGGGUGUUUAC
rnacentral:misc_RNA from 1 species